CCCCCAGUGCUUACCUUAUCUCAUUAUACAUAUUAUUGUGUCAUAGUGAUUUUGGCUUAUAAUCAUAUUGAUAAAUGAUUAAAUUUGAUAUGUGUUGAUUAAUUUUGAAUCCUUAAGAUUGUAUACUAUCUAUCUAUAGAGUUAUAUAAUGCAUAAACAUGGCAGAAUUAUUCAUUAAAUUGGGCGUAUUUUGCAUUUCAAAGUAAAUUCAAAGUGAAGUUCAAAUUUUGAGCCAAACUGAUCAGAAAUAGACACAAUUUAAAUUCACUUUGAAUUCUCUUUGACAACGCACUGUUUAUUGAAGAACACUGAACAUCAUCUUAUUGUCAUGCCUAUGAUUAAGUGUCCAGUGUGAAAAUAUAUGGCUGCACCCUCAUACUCCAUCUCUCCUAGGAUACUCGGAACCUGCAUUCCGGAGUUGAAAGGAAUUUACAUUAAAAAGAAAACUUCAAGAUUGACCAGUCAAGUCUCAUAUUCUUUUCUAAACUAGCUUUAAAAUUGAAAACUGUAUAUUUCUGUUAUUGGAAAUAUACUGCAUUGUACCACAACUUGCACCCACACAUGCCCAUGGAAUAUACCCAUGCCGAGAAUCUUUUAGUAUUUUCGCAUUGGUGAGAAAAACAUUUAAAAGAAGAAGUAUCAUCCUUUCAGAUACACAAAUAAGUUAGUUCUGCACGUGGCAUAGCAUCCCUUAAAAUAUUUUCUUUUUUUCGGAUAUUUUGCAGGGUCUGUGAAUUUAUGGGAGCUCGGCCUACAGCAGAAUGGAAAUAUAAAAAUAUUAAAAAAUCGUUUUCUUGUAGUUUGCAUUAUUUUAGCAGACUGAGCCACUAUCUUUUCUCCCUUUUGGUACAAGUCUGAUAUACUGAGUUAUUCUCCUAUAUUUGUGGAUAGAACCUAGCCAGUGAAAGGCCUUCAUUUGAGACCAAAAUUAGGAAAAUUUUAAAAUAAAUACCAGUAGAAAUAGCUCAAAUUAAACUGGUCUAAUUUUGGAAAACUCAUAGGGGUGUCUGCAGUAAAAUAGUUUUUUUUCACACUUAGUU